UAGGGAAUAUUAGAAAUGGACGAAAGUCUGAUCUAGCAACACCGCGUGUGCGAAGAAGGCCUUCGGGUCGUAAAGCACUUUUUGGAAGGAAUAGGAAGGAAUGUACUUCCAGAAUAAGUCUCGGCUAACUACGUGCCAGCAGCCGCGGUAACACGUAGGAGGCGAACGUUAUCCGGAUUUACUGGGCGUAAAGCGCGUGUAGGUGGUUCUGUAAGUAGGGCGUGAAAGCUCCUGGCUCAACUGGGAGAGGCCGUUCUAAACUACGGAACUAGAGGAUGGUAGAGGGAGGUGGAAUUCCAGGUGUAGCGGUGGAAUGCGCAGAUAUCUGGAGGAGCACCAGGGGCGAAAGCGGCAUCCUGGACCAUUCCUGACGCUCAGACGCGACAGCUAGCGUGACAAACGCGACUACAUUCCCCACUAGUC
rnacentral:rRNA from 1 species